AGGGUUCGAUUCUGGCUCAGGAUGGACGCUAGCUACAGGCUUAACACAUGCAAGUCGAGGGGCGGCAUGAUCUAAGCUUGCUUAGAUUGAUGGCGACCGGCGCACGGGUGAGUAACGCGUAUCCAACCUUCCCUAUAGUAGAGGAUAGCCCGGCGAAAGUCGGAUUAAUACUCUAUGUUUUUCCAAUGCAGACAUCUAAAAUGGAAUAAAGGUUUACCGCUAUAGGAUGGGGAUGCGUCUGAUUAGGUUGUUGGCGGGGUAACGGCCCACCAAGCCUACGAUCAGUAGGGGUUCUGAGAGGAAGGUCCCCCACAUUGGAACUGAGACACGGUCCAAACUCCUACGGGAGGCAGCAGUGAGGAAUAUUGGUCAAUGGGCGAGAGCCUGAACCAGCCCAAGUAGCGUGCAGGAUGACGGCCCUAUGGGUUGUAAACUGCUUUUAUACGGGGAUAAAGUGAGGGACGCGUCCCUUUUUGUAGGUACCGUACGAAUAAGGACCGGCUAAUUCCGUGCCAGCCGCGGC
rnacentral:rRNA from 1 species